UACGUAGGGGGCAAGCGUUGUCCGGAAUUAUUGGGCGUAAAGAGCGUGUAGGCGGCCAGAUAAGUCCGCUGUGAAAUCUCGAGGCUCAACUUCGAGCUGUCGGUGGAAACUAUCUGGCUAGAGUCCGGAAGAGGAGACUGGAAUUCCUGGUGUAGCAGUGAAAUGCGUAGAUAUCAGGAGGAACACCGAUGGCGAAGGCAGGUCUCUGGGCUGACACUGACGCUCAUGCACGAAAGCGUGGGGAGCAAACAGG
rnacentral:rRNA from 1 species